AUUGAACGCUGGCGGCAUGCCUUACACAUGCAAGUCGAACGGCAGCAUGAUCUAGCUUGCUAGAUUGAUGGCGAGUGGCGAACGGGUGAGUAAUACAUCGGAACGUGCCCUGUAGUGGGGGAUAACUAGUCGAAAGAUUAGCUAAUACCGCAUACGACCUGAGGGUGAAAGUGGGGGACCGCAAGGCCCCAUGCUAUAGGAGCGGCCGAUGUCUGAUUAGCUAGUUGGUGAGGUAAAGGCUCACCAAGGCGACGAUCAGUAGCUGGUCUGAGAGGACGAUCAGCCACACUGGGACUGAGACACGGCCCAGACCCCUACGGGAGGCAGCAGUGGGGAAUUUUGGACAAUGGGGGCAACCCUGAUCCAGCAAUGCCGCGUGUGUGAAGAAGGCCUUCGGGUUGUAAGCACUUUUGUCCGGAAAGAAAUCGCACUUACUAAUAUUAGGUGUGGAUGACGGUACCGGAAGAAUAAGGACCGGCUAACUACGUGCCAGCCGCCGCCGUAAUAC
rnacentral:rRNA from 1 species